UCCUCAGUAGCUCAGCAGGUUAGAGCAUCUGACUGUUAAUCAGAGGGUCGCUGGUUCGAGCCCAGCCUGAGGAG
rnacentral:tRNA from 8 species